UACGUAGGGUGCAAGCGUUGUCCGGAAUUAUUGGGCGUAAAGAGCUCGUAGGCGGUUUGUCGCGUCUGCUGUGAAAACCCGAGGCUCAACCUCGGGCCUGCAGUGGGUACGGGCAGACUAGAGUGCGGUAGGAGAGAUUGGAAUUCCUGGUGUAGCGGUGGAAUGCGCAGAUAUCAGGAGGAACACCGAUGGCGAAGGCAGAUCUCUGGGCCGUAAACUGACGCUGGAGGAGCGAAAGCGUGGGGAGCGAACAGG
rnacentral:rRNA from 1 species